ACGAACGCUGGCGGCGUGCUUAACACAUGCAAGUCGAACGGAAAGGCCCUGCUUGCAGGGUACUCGAGUGGCGAACGGGUGAGUAACACGUGGGUGAUCUGCCCUGCACUUCGGGAUAAGCCUGGGAAACUGGGUCUAAUACCGGAUAGGAGCCAUUUUUAGUGUGAUGGUUGGAAAGUUUUUUCGGUGUAGGAUGAGCUCGCGGCCUAUCAGCUUGUUGGUGGGGUAAUGGCCUACCAAGGCGGCGACGGGUAGCCGGCCUGGGAGGGUGGACGGCCACAUUGGGACUGAGAUACGGCCCAGACUCCUACGGGAGGCAGCAGUGGGGAAUAUUGCACAAUGGGCGCAAGCCUGAUGCAGCGACGCCGCGUGGGGGAUGACGGCCUUCGGGUUGUAAACUCCUUUCGCUAGGGACGAAGCUUUUGUGACGGUACCUAGAGAAGAAGCACCGGCUAACUACGUG
rnacentral:rRNA from 1 species